rnacentral:lncRNA from 1 species
UCUUCUUCUUUCAUUUAUAGAAAGAAAGAUAUAUAGAUAUGCUAUUAGUAUUAUUCUUUUUGCUCCAUAGUUGCAUUUUGUAUAAUGGUAGGCAAUGCUGAUAUAAUUCACAGUUUUUAGAAUUUUUUUUAUCUUUAUUUUAAUUCAAUUUUAAGCUGCUUAUUUCUUAUUAUACUAUAUAACUAUAUAUACAAGACAAAUAUCCAUAACAUAGCAAAAGAAAGGUAUUCACAGAAAAAAAUAACUCAACUUUAUGUGUUACCCCUUAUUUGGAGAAUUAGAGUAUACCUCAAUUGCUCAGCAACCUAACAACACAGACCUUUGACAACAACAUUAUAAGUUUUAAAAAAACCAAAACAGGUGUCAUAUCAUUUGCCAAGUUUUAAAUUCUGGUACAGACAAGCUCAUGAUUAUAUAAUGGGCUUAUCCAUGUUUCUGACUUCUUUUCUUUAUUUUAUCAUACAGGGACAUCAGUAGCCAAGUGGUCUACUAGCAGUCAACAAUGGGGUUGUGAGUUCGAACCCCACUUAUGUGGGUGCACUGGACUCCAAUCUUUAUUGACUAGGAUUGUCAGUUUUCCUAUCGAAGGUUGCGGUUUUCUCCUAGUACUCUGGCUUCCUUCAUCAAUAAAAAUUGGCCGACUCAAAAUAGCCAAAAAGUGGCACUUGAAAUUGGCUUUACAACACCAUUAAUCAAUCAAUCAAUCAAUCAUCAUACAAAUUAUUUGUGAGCCAAAAUAUAGAUUUUUUGAUAUAAAUUGAAGUAUAUAAUAACAGGCUAUUAUUCCAAUUUUGAAUUAUUUGUAAUUAUGGAAAUUGCAUAAUUUCUUGUGCUUGAAAUUUUUAAUGAAUUUCAUCUUUAUUCUACAUUAUAAUUUUUAAAGCAUUAUUAUAUUAAUUCGUUGAUAUUUAUUUAUAUUUUUCAAUUUAUAUCAAAACUGCUUAAGAAAAUGCCAAACAAUAACAGCAAAAUAAUUGUAUAUUAACAUGAUGCAUAUCUAACUAAAGAACAAAAUUCCUUAAGAACUUCAGUUAUAAAACUAUGUCCACUGGGAGAAGGCAAUAGAUUAAAAUUUUAAUUAUUUGUAGUUGUGCUGGAAAUGAGCAUG